GACCUGGCUCAGGAUGAACGCUAGCUACAGGCUUAACACAUGCAAGUCGAGGGGCAGCAUCAUCAAAAGCUUGCUUUGAUGGAUGGCGACCGGCGCACGGGUGAGUAACACGUAUCCAACCUGCCGACAACACUGGGAUAGCCUUUCGAAAGAAAGAUUAAUACCGGAUGGCAUAGUUUUCCCGCAUGGGAUAAUUAUUAAAGAAUUUCGGUUGUCGAUGGGGAUGCGUUCCAUUAGG
rnacentral:rRNA from 1 species